UUCUAACCAUGGCCGAGCUACGUAUCUCUUCCUUCGUCUCCCUUUCUUUAAAUGUCCUCGUGUACACUUCAUGUGAGUGUGGGUGUAUUCACGAGGAUCCCCUUUUCUCCCUAUCCCGACUGGAGUAUUCAACUUUUCGGCGGAUGGAUGGAGCACUUGCUGGAUCUUGGUGGAUGUGGUGCCUGGCUGAAUUUCCCAGGCUCAAAGAACGUUAGGCCUAACUGCAUUACCGGUAGUCUUGGCAUUAGUACAACUGCUGUCGGCAAGUUUUUCAUCUCCAGUUGACCUCGGCGCGUAAAAUGCCGCUUUCGAAAAGAAAAGAAAUUGGUUGAAUGGCACUUGAAAAAUAUAGAUAAUCAUCAACGAAAACAUAAAUGUUAUGUUGGGAGUAGAAAAGAGAAUCGAUCCCGUUCGAGGACGUCUUCCUAACCGGAAUUUGUUAAAAAAGGGGAACAGCCUAGGUCAAGAAGCAAUAUUCUACACAGGCACUCACAGUGUCUUUUAUCGUCCUCUGCCAACCGUUCCGCCGCCGUGUGAUUUGCGAAAAUUCGUCGGGUGGCCGACCGACAAUCAAUUCGUCACCCACUCGGCCGUCGACAAUUUUUAUCGGAACAAGACCCAGUGCGUCGUCGCCGAAUCGGACGGAACCCAAAAAACAAUCGACUUCACCGCCCCCGUUGUCUUCAAGUUCACUUAGUCUGUUACACAAGACAAUGAAGACAAGAUUAAUUCCCUUUUGGAAAUAACGCUGAAAAAUCGUGGACAUACAUUGGCCUAAUAUAUUAGCAACAACAAUUCGACGCUUAAUUUCAACUAACACUAGAAUAUUAAUCAAUUGUCAUGUACAAGAGAACACUAAUAGUAAAAGAGACUUGCUUUAUUCGGUAUUAAUUGUUGUUCAUUAUUUU